AGAAACCUUUAUGCGGCACUCCAACAUAUUCAUCAGUGUGGUCCAGUUCCUAAUGCUUGGAACACCUUUGCACCCGAGGUAGAACUGGACCGUUUGCAAUGUCUCAACGAGCGUGAACCCUUGGAGACAGGGCAUGAAGAGAAUGAAGAUGUCCCCAAAUAUCAAGUCAACAACAAUAGGAGGGGCACCAUGCCAAUAAACCAAACUCUAAAUUCUUUGACAAUCAUCCACCACAACACAUAGGGACUUCCAUCUCACAUUGUUGAUUUUAAAGCACAUCACAAACUCAGACAUGCAGAUGUGUUAUGCCUCACAGAGACAGGGUCCUCCGUGUCCCCAGUUUUCCAGCUGGAGGGAUACGACACAUUCGCACGUAGCAGACACCUCUCAUACAACACCUGUGUGGACAUGGCAAAAAAAGAUGGAGGUGGAGUUGCAGUGUACUGUAGAGGCAAUGUUCAAGCAGAGCCUCGCAGAUACAUGCAAGAUGUCACUGAUUAAGACUUUGCUGUUGUGAAAAUCGAGGCUCCAGUCAAAGUGCUGUUGGCAACUGUUUACAAAUCGCCACUUUUCAAUUUGGAAAAUUUUUUGCCAAACCUGAAAAGCCUCUUGGACUCACUGGAAUUACUAAAUCACGAGCCCAUCAUUGUCUGUGGAGACUUUAAUGAGGAUCUCUUCUCAAAAGGAAAGAAAAGCAUAAGAGUCCAGACAAAGGUUACACUCAGUUGAUCACAAACUCCACAACUGAAAAGAACACCCUGAUUGAUCACAUUUAUAUUUCACAUCCUGAUAAAUGUCUUCAGUCAGGUGUUCUACAAACAUAUAGUUAUCACAGUUCAGUUUAUUGUAUUUUGACUGGUUAAAAGUCUCUCCAGCCAACACAUUCAGCCAAAUAUUUAUCAGUUGUGACAUUUUUGUUUCCUAUUUUCUAUUUAUACUAUUUAUUUAUUUAUCUAUUUAUCAAUCACAUCGUGUUUUUAUCAUGUAAUUCAUUUAGUCUGAAUAAUCUAUCUCUGGGGCAUGUUCAAUUUUUACUAUUUAUGUAUUUAUCUAUCAAGUCAUGCUAUAAUUGCACAUUCUGUGCAUUUUAGCUUAAUUUAUUUAAUUUUAUUUAUCCAUUACAUAUGUUAUUGCACAUUGGGUGCAUUUUAACUUAAUUUAUUUAAUGUUAAUUAUUCAAGCGAAUUUCUGGCUUUUACUUCAUUAAACCUAUUGGGGUCUGGGUACAAAAAAUGUCUGUCUCUCUGGGUGCAUAUGUUAUUUUAAAACAAUAAUGCUUUCAUCAUUCUGGGUGCAUUUCAUUUAAUCAUGUCUGAAAAAUCUAUCUUUGGGUCAAUACAAUCAUGGAUCUAUGUGACUUAUCAAUAGCGUCACUGUUCUGGGGCCAUUUUUAUAUCUAAUCACUUGUAUACUGUAUAUCUGGGUGCAUUUUAUUUCGUGACUUGCGUAAUUGUUUUUAUAUACAUGUUCUGUCUGGUAUGUGUUGGCUGGAACUCAUUAAGUCAUAUGAUGAUGAUCAUUCAAAUCAAGUUCAAGUCUGUGUAUUAAUGUAUGUAUUUAUCUUUUUAUUUAUUGAUGUAUCUAUUCAGCUGUUUAUAUUACUGUUUAUUUGUCUAUUUAAAUAUGUAUUUAUUUAUUUAUUUAUUAAUUCAGGGUCAGCAAUAUCUGAGACAUUAAGAUAAGGACAGUGCCAUGUACUUAAAUGUAAGACGGGGAGCUCAAGACAAGAAGCUGCAGUUACAGCAGCUUUCCUCAAUGCCACAACUAGAAGACUGAAUAGGGACAGCAGUGGAGGAGGGCCGAGGACCAGUGGAUGACACCAGUUCCCACUCUGACGAUGCAGACCAAGUUGCUAGUGCAACCUCCUCCAUCACAAAGAAUGAUGACCACAGACCAAGAAGGAAGACCUCCAGAGAACUGCAGCUGAGGACCGUGCAACCCGGCAGACAGUCACACUAACAAUGAAGCUGCAAUAACGAUGCCAUAGGAUUGCAGGGGAUCUCUCACCACUAACAACCUAACAACAACAAGGGAGGAAUAUUUCAUUAUUUAGUUUUUAUUAAUGCUUUGAAACCUGUGAUGUAAUUUAUUAAUGCCUCUGCCUUUUAUGUCCCUGUAAGAGACAAAAGAUCCAGGCAGAAGAUUGCAAGAGGACCACAGCAGAUCUCCAGAGGACUCCACAGAGGACAAAACAUCCCGACAGAUGAUGAAGAUGAAGACAACAGAUCCAGGAAGAAGACCUCCAGAGGACCACAGCUGGACGGAAACCCAGUAGACCAGUGAGAAACAUUUACCCCUGCAUUGUCGUUGAUUUCCUGUCAAUGGUCAAAGGAGGACGACCACAGAUCCAGGAAGAAGACCUCCAGAGGACCACAGUUGAAGACAGCAAUCCAACAGAUGACAUGAUGAUGACUUGGAAGAAAUGGACCAAAUAUCACGACAGCAAGCUAGCAGAAGACAAACAACAUUGAAGAUCAUUGCUGCCCUCCUGCCACAUGAGCCUGAAAAAUGUGUGUUUAAUUUAUGUAUUUAUUUAUCUAUCUAUCAUAUCAGAAAUAACGUUGUUAUUGUACAUUUGAUGCAUUUUAACUUAAUUUAUUUUGAUGAUAUUUAUUUAUCAAUCACAAAUCAUGUGAUUACACAUUGGGUGCAUUUUAAAUUAAUUGUUGUUAAUUUAAUGUUAUUUAUUCAAGCCAAGUUCUGGCUUUUAUUUCAUUAAAUCUACUGGUUCUGGAUACAAAAAAAAUGUCUCUCUGGGUGCAUAUAUAUUAUUUUAACACAAUGAUGCUUUAAUCAUUGUGGGUGCAUUUCAUUAAGUUGUUUCUGAAAAUCGAUCUCUGGGUGCAUAUGAGUUUUAUUUAUUAAUUUGUUAAAAAUUAUGCUGGGUGCGUUUUAAAGUAAUUUGUUUAAUGUUUUUUAUUCAAGCCAAGUUCUGGCUAUUAUUUCACAAAAUCUACUAGAUCUGGGUACAAAAACUGUCUGUCUCUCUGGGUGCAUAUAUAUAUUAUUUUAACACAAUAAUGCUGUCAUCAUUCUGGGUGCAUUUCAUUUAGUCCUUUCUGAAAAGUUCAUCUCUGGCUGCUUAUGUAUUUUAUUUAUUUAUUUUAUUUAACCACAAUCAUGGUUUUUGUUUGUUUUUUGACUUUGACUUUGACUUUGUCUCUGACACUUGAGAUUGAAAGGUCAUAGGUUGUAAAAAUAAAUGCUUGAAAA